rnacentral:rRNA from 1 species
AACGUAGGGUCCGAGCGUUGUCCGGAAUUAUUGGGCGUAAAGGGCUCGUAGGCGGUCCGUCACGUCGGGAGUGAAAACUCAGGGCUCAACCCUGAGCGUGCUUCCGAUACGGGCGGACUAGAGGUAUGCAGGGGAGAACGGAAUUCCUGGUGUAGCGGUGGAAUGCGCAGAUAUCAGGAGGAACACCGGUGGCGAAGGCGGUUCUCUGGGCAUUACCUGACGCUGAGGAGCGAAAGCAUGGGGAGCGAACAGG